AGGUGUGUCAGCCCACCUUGGAAUGCUCUAAGGGGUAUAAGAGAAGCCAGCCCCUUAUGACACCACUUUUCCCACUUCUCUUUCAGAAGCUGGAGAAAUCCGGGAAGUCUGGAGCACACAUCCCCUCACCAUCAGGGCAGAAGGGCCUUGGCAGCUGCCCUUUCCUUCGCCUGGAAUGCUCUGUUCUGAGCUCUACAUCUCCAGGUUUCCUCAGAUAAGCUACUCAGGCCACAGUGAGUAAGGCAGCCCCUUCCUUUCCCCCACCUCCAGUUAUCCUCCUUCAUGUCCUACUGUUUGUUUCCUUCACGGCACUUUAACACAAUCUGUAAUUAUCUCAUUUGUUUGUUUGUUUAUUGUCUGUCUUCUCUACUGGAAUGGAAGUUCCAAGAGACAGUAGGGAUCAUGCCUGUCUAAUUCAGUGCUGUAAUGCCAGCACCUGGCACCGGGCCUACCACAUAGUAGGUGCUAAAUAUGUGUUCACUAAAAGAACGGACAAAUUCUUUCACUGAAGUGCCACAAGAAUCCUCGGUGAUGGUGAGCAUUAUUAUUCCCAUUUUACAGAUGAAGAAAUGAAGGCUCAGUCACCUGCCCAAGGUCAUACCACUAGGAAGCAGUACAGCCCGAUUUCUAAUGUAAGCCUCUGAUUCCAGAUGUGAGGGAAGGAGGUAGGGACCAUCUUUCCUAACCUUCAAUGCACCUGGCUCCUGUUCCUGUUUGUCUGUGGGUGUCUCUACUCCCAUCCCAGGCAUCCCCACAGAAACCUGUGCAGAAAAGCGAGAAGGACAGUUAAAACCUGUAAAGAAUGUGAAUUUGGGGCACCCGGGUGACUCAGUUGGUUAAGCGUCUGACUUCGGCUCAGGUCAUGAUCUCAUGGUUCGUGGGUUCGAGCCCCAGACAGACUUUGUGCUGACACCUCAGAGCCUGGAGUCUGCUUUGGAUUGUGUAUCUCCCUCUCUCUGCCCUUGCCCUGCUCUCUCUCAAAAAUAAACAAACAAACAAACAAACA
rnacentral:lncRNA from 1 species